rnacentral:rRNA from 1 species
UCAGGAUGAACGCUAGCUACAGGCUUAACACAUGCAAGUCGAGGGGCAGCAUGAAGUUGCUUGCAAACUUGAUGGCGACCGGCGCACGGGUGAGUAACGCGUAUCCAACCUUCCCUAUAGUAGAGGAUAGCCCGGCGAAAGUCGGAUUAAUACUCUAUGUUGUAUUUUUGCGGACUAUCUAACGAAUACCAAAGGUUUACCGCUAUAGGAUGGGGAUGCGUCUGAUUAGGUUGUUGGCGGGGUAACGGCCCACCAAGCCUUCGAUCAGUAGGGGUUCUGAGAGGAAGGUCCCCCACAUUGGAACUGAGACACGGUCCAAACUCCUACGGGAGGCAGCAGUGAGGAAUAUUGGUCAAUGGGCGAGAGCCUGAACCAGCCAAAAGUAGCGUGCAGGAUGACGGCCCUAUGGGUUGUAAACUGCUUUUAUACAGGGAUAAAGUGGGGAACGUGUUCCCUUUUGUAGGUACUGUAUGAAUAAGGACCGGCUAAUUCCGUGCCAGCCGCGGC